AAUGCAAUGGCUAUGUUGUUUGGUAAGUUUAUUUUUAGUUUUAAAAGGAACUACAUAACUUUUUUACAGAAUGGCUGUACCAUUUAAAUUUGCCAU
rnacentral:pre_miRNA from 1 species